rnacentral:rRNA from 1 species
AUUGAACGCUGGCGGCAGGCCUAACACAUGCAAGUCGAGCGGAUGCAGGGAGCUUGCUCCUGGAUUCAGCGGCGGACGGGUGAGUAAUGCCUAGGAAUCUGCCUGGUAGUGGGGGAUAACGUCCGGAAACGGGCGCUAAUACCGCAUACGUCCUGAGGGAGAAAGUGGGGGAUCUUCGGACCUCACGCUAUCAGAUGAGCCUAGGUCGGAUUAGCUAGUUGGUGGGGUAAAGGCCUACCAAGGCGACGAUCCGUAACUGGUCUGAGAGGAUGAUCAGUCACACUGGAACUGAGACACGGUCCAGACUCCUACGGGAGGCAGCAGUGGGGAAUAUUGGACAAUGGGCGAAAGCCUGAUCCAGCCAUGCCGCGUGUGUGAAGAAGGUCUUCGGAUUGUAAAGCACUUUAAGUUGGGAGGAAGGGCAGUAAGUUAAUACCUUGCUGUUUUGACGGUACCAACAGAAUAAGCACCGGCUAACUUCGUG